rnacentral:lncRNA from 1 species
UGAAAUAGCAAAAUUGGACAUUCUGUCUAUGGGUGGGUAGAUGGCGGUCUCUCCAAUUGUAAUUCUGUCUAGGACAGGCAUCCAUUGCUGAUGUUUUAGAGCUGUGCAUCCGACACUUUCCUCUGAGCACAUAAUAUUAGGUGCAGUUCAAGAACCCAGCUAACACAGAACAUUUAGCAAUGUUUUAAGUUAGCCUUUCUGAAAAUGUGUGAUGUAAUAAUUGUAGCCAGGUGGUGAAUUGAGAAUACACCUUUAAAAUGUGUGUCUGUAACUUUAAGAAACACAAUCAGAAGUGUUGUCACCCUGAGAGAGGAAAGGGAGGAGCUAAGAGCAUGGUAGAGAAGGAGGCUCAAGCUGCAGUGAAUGGUGGUGCUCCAUUUUAGGAUUCAUCCAGAGCCAUCCUAAUGAAAUAAGAGGUGCUAAGAACAGGAGUAUUUAUGGUGGAGCAAGGAUUGCAGAUGGAUCUUCAGCUGGUUCAGAAAGGAUAACCGAAUGACAGUGGUGUUUGUCUGCAGUUCAACUUUAAACCCCACCCGAUGUCAUGCUGGAGCUUUCUGGAGCAGCCGCUUUUCCCAGUUCAGAGAUUCAGUGCUGAAAAUAAAACACACAGAUGGUAAAGUAGACCUGUUUGUGUGUGUUUAUCUUUGACCCA